rnacentral:rRNA from 1 species
GUUAUAGGAUCAAGCGACUAAGUGCAUAUGGUGGAUGCCUUGGCGAUCACAGGCGAUGAAGGACGUAGUAGCCUGCGAAAAGCUACGGGGAGCUGGCAAACAAGCUUUGAUCCGUAGAUGUCCGAAUGGGGGAAACCCACUCCGUAAGGAGUAUCCCUGGCUGAAUACAUAGGCCAGUGGAAGCGAACCGGGUGAACUGAAACAUCUCAGUAGCUCGAGGAAAAGAAAUCAACCGAGAUUCCGAAAGUAGUGGCGAGCGAAAUCGGAAGAGCCUUUACGUUUUAGCACGCAAGAUAGUCGAACGGAAUGGAAAGUCCGGCCGUAGCAGGUGAUAGCCCUGUAGGCGAAAUCUUGUGUGUGGAACUAAGCGUAAGAAAAGUAGGGCGGGACACGUGAAAUCCUGUUUGAAGAUGGGGGGACCAUCCUCCAAGGCUAAAUACUCGUG